GACGUGCGCCCGGCCACGCUUCCUGGAAGAGAUGCAUUGCGGAGCUCGCUAGUUGGGGCGUUGGCCUUCCUUAGGAGUGUGAGUCUAGCGUUAUCCCUUUUUUCCGGCUGGAUCCCGGGUUACCCCACCAGCCCGACCUCAACCCACUCACGUCCACAGCACGAGCCCCAGCGGCCUUGCGCGGUGCUUGCUCUCUAGUAGCGGCUGACUAGGUCAGUCAGGAUCUUUGAUUUUGGAGCACAAGCCUUCUGCGUGCUACUGACUGGGUCCUGGCCUCCCUCCUUCCAUGGCAUCGUCGUGAAUGGGAAUUUCCACCACUGCCUCCAUUAGUCAGAAGAUUGAACAUGUUGUAACUGUAGAAAGCCCGUCAUCCUUGUGUAUGCACUUGCUGAAAGAUCCACUGAAGAGCAACCUUCAUGAACAUUACCAGGGGACUUGUGCUCCUAUAAAACGCACUGUUUUCCUCACUGCGAGGUGGGUCUCUCACCGCGAUGGACUAUCUGUGAUCACAGAGCACUUCUUCCCUGGGCCUUCCCUGUCACACUGAUGGUGUGAGUAUGUAGGGCAGGGGUGGGAGUGAACAUGUUAAUCUCUUUUGAAUAAACUGAUUUUGAAGUAGAUGUCUCAAAAAAAA
ensembl:lncRNA SEC61G-DT SEC61G divergent transcript